CUUCAGCGAGGGACUAACCCCGGAGUUGUCCAGGUUCUCGCUUCCUGUAUAGGGGUGUGAUCCUGGCACCACCCCUUACUUGCUUUCUACCCAAACAAAUGAGAAUCACUAACAGAGUUGACACCGAUGAAUGGAAUCCAUCCACUGAUACACAUCUUCCUUGAUUGAUAACCGCUCUGCAAAUGUUGUGAUGCACUCAAAAUUUUAAAUAUCAUUUCCAGCUUUUUUGUUUGUCUACGACAGUUAGAUCAUCUAUCGAGGGACCGAAUUUGCUUUAGAUUGCAAACUUGAGUUUGCUCAUACUGCUCAUCGAAAUUCUGCUGCUGUUCAUUCCUGGUUGAGUGUAAGUCUGCGUAGCAAGUAGAAGUCAGUCUUGUGUUGAGAGCGCUACUUCAGUGUUGAUAAGUUCUAGAGUAUCCCCUGAUCUUCAACAGUGAGGUGUUAUAGCUGUAACCAUUACUCGUAGGAUUUUUAUGCUAGAGCACUUUGAGCACAAACUUUUGCAGGAACUAACCCGGAGUUGCCCUGGUUCUCACUUCCGGUAUAGGGGUGUGAUCCUGACACCACCCCUUAAUUGCUUUCUACUCAAACAAGAAAGAAUCGAUCCAUCCAGAGCUCAAAUGCAUUUCCAGUUUGCCCCUCUGCUUCGUCAGUGGGUGGAUUUUCCUGGAAAUUUGCAUCUCUACUUCUGACCAAAUGAGUGUUAGCACUGGAAUUGGUGCUAUUCCCCACACACCUGAAAUUGGCUCUGACGAGAUGGAUCCUGUUGGAUCCCAGAUUCGUACAAGCUACUGAUGGACACUAAUACAAAUCUGUCUUCCGAGCAUCCCGGGACAAAUGUCUCUGCGCCAUUUAUAACCUUUGGUGAUGCAUUGCACAUGUAACAUACUAUCUCAGAGAAGAUAUAUAUACUAUGCGCCUUAACUCUUAAAUAUCAAUUCCUUAAAUCUCGUGCCCAAAAAAUUGCCUCGCUCAUGGUUGGACGGAGUGAGUACAAAAUAACAAACUAUAGCUAUAUAUUUAUUUUACUAUUAUCUUAGUUGGUAAUUGGUAUCCUCCAAUAUGUUGAUGUCAACUUAUUAUGUUGUUUUCCUUUUUUAAGACAUGGUGGAUUAAGCAUAAAACUUUACUGACUUUUCCAACUCUUAAUUUGAUCAUGCGUUUUACCUAGACUUCAAUUGUAGAAUCCACAUCCAACAAGGUAUGAAUGUUAUUUAUUGAGCUAAUUACAUGUGUAAAGCUACAUUGCUUUGCAUCAUGGACAUUAGAUUGCUAUGUAGGAUAAUAUUUCCGAUGAUGACUAUAUAAUUUCAAAAGCUGGGCUCGGUCUAGAAGUGGGAAUGAUGUCAAUCCUACAUGUCCAACCCAUUUAUGGGGAAAUAGAUCGAUUACUUUCUAUUAGAAGAAAGCAUAGAGACAGUGUUGUGGCACUUUUUUUAAUGCUAGCCUUUAUGCUGGAGGUCAAACGGAAGCCCUUUAUCCAAAGCCAAGGCACAUGUCACAUUCACAACGAGUUUAUGAGAAUCGAUCCACCCAGAGCUUCAAAUGCAUUUCCAGUUCGCCCCUCGGCUUCAUCAGGAGCUGGAUUAUCCAGGCAAUUUGCAUCACCACUUCUGACCAAAUGAGUGCUAGCAUUUACUCAUCUGGCCUUGUUAGCACUUGAAUUGGUGCUAUGCCCCAUACACCGGAAAUCGGCUCUGACAAGAUAGAACCUGUUGGAUCCCAAAAACUAAAAGGAAUCAAAUUAGUAAAAUUCCGGUGAUCAUUUUUCAGUUCGCUCAUCUCAUAUUUCAAUUGGCGAUGGUCCACAAACUCUUGAGUUUGGGAGGGGCUAAUUUAUAAAGGAAUCAAGAUGAGAGAAGAAAUACCUAACCCCAUCACCUAACUUCCCAUGCAAACAAGGGAGUAUUUUGUUUACCAUGCAAAUAAUUAGAUUACUCUAUCUCGUUGAUUCUGAAGGACCAUUUUUUCCAUAGUAUAUAUAACAAUGCAAAGGCUAAAGAAGUUAUAUGUUUUUAAAUGGCAGGUCUAUGCCACGGAGCCUGUUGAGAAACUUAUACGAAAUGCAACACAUUUGUAGUAGCAAGGUUGAAAGGAAGUCAUGCUAAUGUAACUUGAAGGUUGAGUGUAAGGCUGCGUAACAAGCAGAACUCGGCCCCGUGAUGUGAGCUUUACUUCAGUGUUGAUCAAGUUCUUGAGAUGUCCCCUUUCAACAGUGAGGUACUUACCCUGGAGUUGUCCUGGUUCUCGGUUCCGGUAUAGGGGUGUGAUCCUAGCACCACUGCUUAUUUGCUUUCUACGCAAAAAAAUAAGAGUUAUUGAGGAGCCAACUUUUUAGGAGACACGAUGAGAAAAGGAAUUGCUUAACCCCCACCACCUAAUUUCCUAUGCAGACAAUGGAGUAUUCUGUCUCGCCUCACAUUUUAUUGUUCAUCACAUAAAGGGAAAUGUUUAGAUUCAUUUUGGGGGUGUAGGUGUUUGUGUGUACUAUGUGCACCAUGUAUUUUAUGUAUAGUGUGAGUGUAGUGUAGUGUAGUGUAUGUGCACAAUAUGUGUGUUUUGUGUUUAGUGCGUGUAUUUUGCGAUUUUGCGUGCAGUGUGUA